UACGUAGGGUGCAAGCGUUAAUCGGAAUUACUGGGCGUAAAGCGUGCGCAGGCGGUUGUGCAAGACAGAUGUGAAAUCCCCGGGCUCAACCUGGGAACUGCAUUUGUGACUGCACGGCUGGAGUGCGGCAGAGGGGGAUGGAAUUCCGCGUGUAGCAGUGAAAUGCGUAGAUAUGCGGAGGAACACCGAUGGCGAAGGCAAUCCCCUGGGCCUGCACUGACGCUCAUGCACGAAAGCGUGGGGA
rnacentral:rRNA from 1 species